rnacentral:rRNA from 1 species
AGCAGCCGCGGUAAUUCCAGCUCCAAUAGCGUAUAUUAAAGUUGCUGCAGUUAAAAAGCUCGUAGUUGAAUUUCGGGACUAAUAUGUCGGUCGUGCCUCGGUACGUACUGGCAUUGUUGGUUUCUACCUUCUGACGAACCAUGAUGUCAUUUAUUUGGUGUCGUGGGGAAUCAGGGCUGUUACUUUGAAAAAAUUAGAGUGUUUAAAGCAGGCUCACGCUUGAAUACAUUAGCAUGGAAUAAUGAAAUAGGACGUUUGAUUCUAUUUUGUUGGUUUCUAGGAUCGGCGUAAUGAUUAAUAGGGAUAGUUGGGGGCAUUAGUAUUCAAUUGUCAGAGGUGAAAUUCUUGGAUUUAUUGAAGACUAACUACUGCGAAAGCAUUUGCCAAGGAUGUUUUCAUUAAUCAAGAACGAAGGUUAGGGGAUCGAAGACGAUCAGAUACCGUCGUAGU